rnacentral:rRNA from 1 species
UCGUGGAGUAAUUUGUCUGGUUAAUUCCGUUAACGAACGAGACCUUAUCUCACUAAUUGGGAUAUGUAUUCUAUACAUAAUCCCUCUUAGAAGGACGGUGAAUACAUAAUUCAAGGAAGCGUGAGGCAAUAACA